UCCGGUUGCGAUCCGGCGCAUGAAACACGAGUGCUAGCCGUUUGAGCCUUCAGUGGGCGUUCAAGUAAAAAACUGGGCGCGAUGGCUAUAUGUGAUUGAUUGAAAUGAAACCCAUCCCACUGGGCAGAGCCACGGACGGUCCACCACAACGGAGAAGGAGACCUUCUGUUUUUCCGUCGCUAAAGAUCCAGUGGCCAACGUGCGGCACUCAGUACCUACAACGGACACCAAUAGCUUUGACAGGAUCAGCUGACAACAGCUAUCGACUGAGAGACCGGUGGGUGAAAAGAAAAUGCAUGUACAGCACUGAAACAUCAAUCAAAAUGCAC